AUGAGACAGAAAGACACCAGCACUCCUACUAUCACGUAGGAUGGUAGGAGUGCUAUUGUCAUUUGGCAGGACGGUAGUACCUCCCUGGGUGGUUGCUGUCUACCAACUUACUACUCUAUACAAUAUAAAGGGAAAGGGGAUAGAAGAGAAUGUAAAAAUUAUAGGGGAAUAAGUUUACUGAGGAUACCAUGUAAAGUAUAUGGUAGGGUUAUUAUUGAAAAAAUUAGAGGCGAGAUAGAGAGCAGGAUCCCAGAUGAACAAGGUCUUCGAAUGGGUAAGGGAUGUGUAGACCAAGUGUUUACACUGAAGCAUAUAAGUGAACAAUAUUUAGACAAAGGUAGGGAAGUUUUUGUUGCAUUUAUCAAUUUAGAAAAAGCACAUGAUAAGGUAGAUAGGGGAGCAGUGUGGCAGAUGUUGCAAGUGUAUGGAAUAGGUAGUAACUAAAUGCUGUAAAGAGUUUUUAUGAGGAUAAUGAGGCUAAGGUUUGUGUGCAUGUAGGAGAGAAAGAGAUUACUUUUCAGUAAAAUUAGGCCUUAGACAGGGAUGUGUAAUGCCACCAUUGUUGUUUAAGAUAUUUAUAGAUCGGGUUGUAAAAAGAGUAAAUGCUAGGGUGUUGGGGAGAGGGGUGGGAUUAAGUUUUCGGCAAUCAAAUACAAAAUAAGAGUUGAUACAGUUACUUUUUGCUGAUGAUACUGUGCUUUGGGAGAUUGUAAAGAGAAGUUGCAAAGGUUGGUGGACAAGUUUGGGAGGGUGUGUAAAGGAACAAAGUUGAAAGUGAACAUAGAUAAAAGUAAGGUGAUGAGGGUAUCAAACAAUGGGAUAUCACAUUGGAGGGAGUGUAGAAAACGUGAAUGUGCUCAUAUAUUUAGAAGUAGAUGUGUCAGUGGAUGGGUUUAUGAAGGACAAGGUAAACCACAGAACUGAUGAAGGAAAAAGGGUGGAUAAUGCAUUGAGGUAUCUGUGGAGACAACAUUAUCAUGGAGGCAAAGAAGGGGAUGUAUGAGUAUCAAGCAUGGGUUGCAAAUGCUGCAGCAAGGAGGAGGCUGAAGGCAGUAGAGAUGUUGUGUAUAAGGGUAAUGUGUGGUGUAUAUAUUACUCAUGAAAAUUUGUAGUGUGGAAAUUAGGUGUGGAGCUACUAAAAGUAUUAUUCAGAGGGCUGAGGAGAGGUAGUUGAGGUGGUUUGCUCAUAUAGAGAGAUGGAGCAAAAAAGGAUGAUUUGGAGGGUGUAUGAAUCUGUAGUGGUGGGAAGGAGGGGCAGGGGUCAUCCUAGAAAAGGAUGGAGAGAGGGGGUGAAAGAAGUUUUGUGUGCAAGGGACUUGGACAUACAGCAGGCAUGUGUGAGCACAUUAGAUAGUGAAUAAAAUGAAUGGUUUUUGGGAUGUGAUGAGCUGUUGGAGUGUGAGCAGGGUAAUAUUUUGUGAAGGGAUUCAAGGAAACUGGUUAGCUGGAUUCGAGUCCUGGAGGUGAGACUUGCACUUUAACGGAGAGGUUUGGGAUAUUGGUUGUUUGGGGUGACAUUUGAACUGUUGUAUCUGGGCACCUCUGCAAAGACAGAGAUUGUGUGAAUGAUGGUAAAAGUGUUUUUGCGUUUUGGGUCUCCCUGCCUCAGUGGGAGAUGGCUGAUGUGUGGAAAAAGUAGAAAUACAAAACACAAUUACCAUACAUUGAAGUAAUAUACUGUAUACAAUAGUCAGGAAUAAAGACUUGGUAUAAGUUAAGGCUAGGAAUUCUAUUUGUACAAUAAUUGACUUAGUAGUACAAUGCUUGCACUCUGAAGAAGGGGUGGGGAUAGUGCAGUUUGAAGGAGCAUCUGAGCUGUAAUAAGAUUUUAAUACAAUUGUUUGAAAUUAAUCAACUUCUUUUAUGCUACUUAAAAGUUUAGUUGUUGUCUUGCUAACUUAUUUUUUUUUUCUAGAAUGAAGCCUCACUGAUGCAUCUUUCUCUAAAUAUUGAUUUACUUACAUUCUUCUUCUAUGAUCUUAUACUGUAUUUACUUGCAGCAUUUGAUUUGUCACUGAGUGAAGGGCUGCAAUUUGAAAGACUAUUAUUCUAUGCAACUUUUGCUACAAAUGAUUGUGCUGAAGGAAUAGCAGCGUUUGUUGAAAAGAGGAAGCCAGUAUUUACAGACAGCUGAGAUUUAUCAUUUACUAUGUAAUGAUUAAGAACUUGUCUAACAUAGCAAAAUAUAAGCUGAAAACUGAUAAUUAGGAAAAAAUAAGUUUUAUAUUUUACUUAUGGCUUAGCGCUUCUUUUUUGAUUAUAAUAAUAUAUUUUACUUAGCCUCAUAUAUCAAAAACAUUGCUAGAACAAGUGUAGAAGUUUCGGCUAAAACAUGUACAGUGGAUCCUCAGCUUUCGUGUUUAAUCUGUUCCAGAGCCAUCGCCCAAAACUGAAACCAUUUUCCCCAUAAGAAAUAAUGUAAAUGGAAUUAAUCUGCUCCAUACACCCAGAAGUAUCAACAAAAAAAUUUGUUUUUACAUUAAAGAUAGUUACAUGGACAAAAGAAUGAACAUUACACAUGAUGCUUACCUUUAUUGAAGGCUGUUGUUGCUGGAAGACAUGGAGGAGGGGAGAGGGAAGAUAGGUUAUUGUUUGGAAGGGGAAUCCCCCUCCAUAAGGACUCUAGUUACCAAGUCCUUAUCUGGGGUCACUUCCCUUCAUUUUUUACUGCCACUAGGACCAGCUUCAGAGUCACUGGACCCCUGUUGCACAAAAUAUCUGUCCAGAUAGGUCUGUUUCUGGCAUCUCUUAAGAUUUGCCUAAAAUGGGACAUGGCAUUGUCAUCGUAAAAGUCACCAGCACGGAUUGCAACAGCUUUCUCAGGGUGAUGUUCCUCCACAAAUGAAUGCACUUUAGUCCACACUGCGCAAAUCUCCUUAAUCUUUCAAGACGGCACUUUCUUCCAUCUCUCUUCCUCCUCCUCUGAAGUAAUUUCCUCAGCUGUGGCUUGUUGCUGUUGCAGAUGAAGCUCUUGCAGCUCAUCAGUGGUUAGCUCUUCAUUGUGGUCCUCCACCAACUCUUCCACAUCCAACCCCAUGGAAUUCCCCAAUGCCUCAACUGAUUGCACAACAGGUGUAGGGUUGACCGGGUCAGCCUCAAACCCUUCAAAAUCCUUCUUUUGGACACAAUCUGGCCACAAUUUUCUCCAAGCAGGGUUCAUUGUCCUGGAAGUCACUCCUUGCCAAGCCUUAUCUAUAAGGCCUAUGCAGUGGAAGAUAUUGAAGUGAUUCUUGCAGAACUCUCUUAGGGUCAAUUCAGAGUCCAAGGUUAUGUCAAAGCACCUUCGAAACAUUGCUUUGGUGUACAGUUUUUUGAAGUUUGCAAUGAUCUGCUGGUCCAUGGGCUGGAGGAGAGGAGUGGUGUUAGGAGGCAAGAACUUCACUGUUACAAAACUGAAUUCCUUAGACAAGUGAUCUUCUAAGUCUGGAGGAUGAGCAGGAGCACUGUCCAUUAACAGAAGGCACUGGAGUGGCAAUUUAUUAUCCAGGUGGUAUUUCUUCACACUCGGGCCAAACACUUCAUUGAACCAUUCCGGGAAAAUUUCUCUAGUGACCCAUGCUCUACUGUUAGCCUCCCACAUAACACAAUUUACUCUUGACACCACUGUUUUUCUUGAACACACUGGGAUUUUCAUUGAUACACCAGUAAAGGCUUCACUUUGAAAUAUCCACUAGCAUUACCACACAAGAAAGUUAGCCUGUCUUUCAUAGGCUUGUGUCCUGGGAGUCCCUUUUCCUCCUGCACAACGUAGGUCCUCUUUGGCACUUUCCUCCAAAACAGGCCUGUUUCAUCACAAUUGAACACUUGUUGGGGUUGAAAUUUUUCGGCCUCUACACAACACGUGAAUUCCCGCACAAAUUUUUCAGCCGCUUGUUUGUCUGAACUGGCACCCUCGCAGUGCCUUACAACACUGUGUAUGCAACUUCGCUUCUUGAAUUUUUCAAACCAGCCUUUGCUGGCCCUAAAUUCACCUACAUCAGCACUUGUUUCAGGCAGUUUCUUUAAGAGGUCAUCAUAUAACAGUCUUGCCUUUUCACAAAUAAUUGACUGCACAACAUCAUCUGCUAACUUUCUCUCUGAUCCACACCAACAACAAUUUCUCCAUUUCUUCAAUUGUUUGGGAUCUUUGUUUGGUUAUUGCAUUCACCCCUUUCACAACAUCAGCUUCCAUGAUUUCUUUUCUCUAUGCCACAAUGGAGCGAAUUGUUGAUGGCGACUUCCCGUACAUCCUGCAGAGUUCAGCAAUGCGUAUGCCACUAUCGUAUUUUCUUAGGAUUUCUUUUUUCAGUUCUACAGUGUUCCUCACUUUCUUUACCAAAGCACUGGCACUAGGAGCUUUCUUUGGGGCCAUGGUCGCUUAUUUAGUAGUCACACACAAUAAACAAGUGGUAAAAACAAUGGAUUAUUACGAAAUGUUUUGUAUCACCUGGCAGGAUUUGUUCACUCACUGAGAAACAACGCUACACUGGCUGAGAAUGGCGUGGGAGGCGGCUUUGUCUGCAUGCUCGGCACUGGACAGGUUCUGUACGAUUGACGAAAACAGAGCCAAAAAAUCGACAAAAAAAAGUCGGCCAAAACCAAAAUCGGCAAUAAUCGAGAUCGACGAAAAUGGAGGGUCCACUGUAUAGCAAAAAUUCUUUUAUUACAGCAUUUUGUCUACACAAGGCUUUAUCAAAUACAUGAAAAUACAACA